rnacentral:misc_RNA from 1 species
GCAAACUUGGUCAUUUAGAGGAAGUAAAAGUCGUAACAAGGUAACCGUAGGUGAACCUGCGGUUGGAUCAUUAUCAAAUUGAUCGGGCCGGGCCUCUUAACGGGGCCUGGCCGGAGUUUCUCUCGCGAAAGCGGGCUUGAAACCCAAACUCUCUUGUGAACUGUUUUCUGUCUCUGGCGGUAGGGCUAGUCAAGUAGCCAUUUGCGGCUUCUUUUCAGCCUGUCAGCAACAUUGCUUUGCCGUGGACAAGCCGCCAACCAUUUUUGAACCAACGCUUUUAACUUUUAAUUUGUCUAACCAUGUAUUUUGUAUGAAUGUACAAAAACAACUUUUGGCAACGGAUCUCUUGGCUCUCGCAUCGAUGAAGAACGCAGC